rnacentral:lncRNA from 1 species
UCACUCCACACAGAAACCACUGUUAACGCCACAACAGGGGCAGUAUUUUUUGGCACUGACACUUGCUUGGGAUCUUAAUGACGCUCAGAGCAAAGGUGGAUUUUCUUAGAAAAUGUAUGAGAAGAGCUCUCCGAGAAUACUGUGUAAGAACAACUGCUGACAUCUAGUAAGAUUCCUUGUUGGGUAUCACUUUGAGAUAGCUCAACCUCACUUCUGACCCAGGAAUGGCUCCUGAGGAGUGGAGUCCAGGGAAUUACAUCCCAAAACAGGGACGCUUGUUUGCUGAUUACGUCACAUUAAAGUCUGUGAUGUGAAGUAAGGCUGAGUUGCCCUGGAUCCUCUCCACGUAGAUCUUCCCACCGCGGACUCGCUGGGUGUAGAUGGCGUACGGGAAGGAAGAGUCCACCGUGCUAACGAUCUGUACUUCACGCUCAGGAGCAGAGGGCAGAAAGAGAGGCAAACAGAUCCUACCACGGCUGUCAGUUUCCAAGGAGUGACCAGGAGUGGGAAGGCGCGCAGAGUCCCACCAGCUGACAAAGCAGAGAGGGACAGUGUGCAGGAAGAUCUGAAACAAGGUCGGUGCCCUUGGGCUCCUGGCUCUGACUGGCCCACCAAGCCCCUGCCUUCUGGUGUGACACAGCUUUCCAAGGUCACGACUCCUCCUGCUUACCCUCCCCACGUUCCUCACGCUGCAUCCUCUUGCAAGGGCAAAAAUUAAAUACGGAGAUCCAAGUUUCUCAUCCCAUG